GGAGAGGCGUGCGUACACAUGCGAGUCGACGGUGAAGCCCUUCGGGGUGGAUCAGUGGCGAACGGGUGAGUAACACGUGGGCAAUCUGCCCUGCACUCUGGGACAAGCCCUGGAAACGGGGUCUAAUACCGGAUACGACCUUCCUCUGCAUGGGGGUUGGUGGAAAGCUCCGGCGGUGCAGGAUGAGCCCGCGGCCUAUCAGCUUGUUGGUGGGGUAAUGGCCUACCAAGGCGACGACGGGUAGCCGGCCUGAGAGGGCGACCGGCCACACUGGGACUGAGACACGGCCCAGACUCCUACGGGAGGCAGCAGUGGGGAAUAUUGCACAAUGGGCGAAAGCCUGAUGCAGCGACGCCGCGUGAGGGAUGACGGCCUUCGGGUUGUAAACCUCUUUCAGCAGGGAAGAAGCGCAAGUGACGGUACCUGCAGAAGAAGCACCGGCUAACUACGUGCCAGCAGCCGCGGUAAUACGUAGGGUGCGAGCGUUGUCCGGAAUUAUUGGGCGUAAAGAGCUCGUAGGCGGCCUGUCGCGUCGGAUGUGAAAGCCCGGGGCUUAACCCCGGGUCUGCAUUCGAUACGGGCAGGCUAGAGUGUGGUAGGGGAGAUCGGAAUUCCUGGUGUAGCGGUGAAAUGCGCAGAUAUCAGGAGGAACACCGGUGGCGAAGGCGGAUCUCUGGGCCAUUACUGACGCUGAGGAGCGAAAGCGUGGGGAGCGAACAGGAUUAGAUACCCUGGUAGUCCACGCCGUAAACGUUGGGAACUAGGUGUUGGCGACAUUCCACGUCGUCGGUGCCGCAGCUAACGCAUUAAGUUCCCCGCCUGGGGAGUACGGCCGCAAGGCUAAAACU
rnacentral:rRNA from 1 species